AGGGAUGUUUCUGCCUCUUAUUGCACAUCAGAAAUCAGAAUCUUCACAUUUUGUGACAAAUUAUUUCCACAACAGCCAGUCAUCAUGCUACAGAGAAUUGUGGCUUCAGUUCUGAAUAGAGAACACGCACCACUGACUUACUACUGAGCCUACCAGGAAUUGAUUGUGCAAAGACAAUGAGGACACACAUUAAUUUCACAAUUAUCCUGUGGAAGUAUCAUAGGACAUCUGAUUUGACAUUUUGAUCUGAAUUUGGCAAAUGCUUUUUCAGUUGAAGCUUGUACUCAAAACCAGAUUUCAUUUAGAACCAGCAC